CCUACGGGUGGCAGCAGUAGGGAAUAUUGCUCAAUGGGGGAAACCCUGAAGCAGCAACGCCGCGUGGAGGAUGAAGGUUUUCGGAUUGUAAACUCCUUUUGUUAGAGAAGAUAAUGACGGUAUCUAACGAAUAAGCACCGGCUGAAUCCGUGCCAGCAGCCGCGGUAAUACGGAGGGUGCAAGCGUUAAUCGGAAUCACUGGGCGUAAAGAGCGCGUAGGCGGGAUAGCAAGGCAGAUGUGAAAUCCUCGGGCUUAACCAUAGAACUGCAUUUGAAACUGUUGUGAUAGAGUAUCGGAGAGGUAGGUGGAAUUCUUGGUGUAGGGGUGAAAUGCGUAGAGAUUAGGAGGAAUA
rnacentral:rRNA from 1 species